rnacentral:lncRNA from 1 species
AUGUUUCACAGCCACUCUAGAGAACUUGAAGGAUACAUUCAGUUGGCAGGGUUACCAUUCACAACUGUACAUGAUGACCAUGGCAUUGAAGGUAGCUACAAAAUCUUAUAUCAUUCAAGUAACCAGCUACAAGUUGAGCAAUGGAGCUGGAGACCAGGUGAGGCAUAUUGCUGGAUAGCCCAGAAAAAGGAAACUAGACUGCAUCAAGAAUAAAAGCAGAUUGGGACUUUAAAAUAUGAGAGGCAUCUUCAGAAGAAAUAAGAAACCUGGGUCAGAAAUAAUUGAGGUAGGUAGAAUGCAACAGAAGCAUAUCCUAAGCUCUCAACAUAAAUGCAUUUCAGCCUUUGAGGUUUAAAUCAGAUGAGGAAGUGUGAUGUUAGAUUUUAUUUAUCAACUUGGCUAAGUAGGCUAUAAUACACAAG